rnacentral:rRNA from 1 species
GACGAACGCUGGCGGCGUGCCUAAUACAUGCAAGUAGAACGCUGAAGAGAGGAGCUUGCUCUUCUUGGAUGAGUUGCGAACGGGUGAGUAACGCGUAGGUAACCUGCCUUGUAGCGGGGGAUAACUAUUGGAAACGAUAGCUAAUACCGCAUAACAAUGGAUGACACAUGUCAUUUAUUUGAAAGGGGCAAUUGCUCCACUACAAGAUGGACCUGCGUUGUAUUAGCUAGUAGGUGAGGUAAUGGCUCACCUAGGCGACGAUACAUAGCCGACCUGAGAGGGUGAUCGGCCACACUGGGAAUGAGACACGGCCCAGACUCCUACGGGAGGCAGCAGUAGGGAAUCUUCGGCAAUGGGGGCAACCCUGACCGAGCAACGCCGCGUGAGUGAAGAAGGGUUUCGGAUCGUAAAGCUCUGUUGUAAGUCAAGAACGGGUGUGAGAGUGGAAAGUUCACACUGUGACGGUAGCUUACCAGAAAGGGACGGCUAACUACGUG